rnacentral:rRNA from 1 species
GAUGAACGCUGGCGGCGUGCCUAAUACAUGCAAGUCGAGCGAACAGACGAGGAGCUUGCUCCUCUGACGUUAGCGGCGGACGGGUGAGUAACACGUGGAUAACCUCCCUAUAAGACUGGGAUAACUUCGGGAAACCGGAGCUAAUACCGGAAAAUAUAUUGAACCGCAUGGUUCAAUAGUGAAAGACGGUUUUGCUGUCACUUAUAGAUGGAUCCGCGCCGCAUUAGCUAGUUGGUAAGGUAACGGCUUACCAAGGCAACGAUGCGUAGCCGACCUGAGAGGGUGAUCGGCCACCCUGGAACGGAGACACGGUCCAGACUCCUACGGGAGGCAGCAGUAGGGAAUCUUCCGCAAUGGGCGAAAGCCUGACGGAGCAACGCCGCGUGAGUGAUGAAGGUCUUCGGAUCGUAAAACUCUGUUAUUAGGGAAGAACAAAUGUGUAAGUAACUAUGCACGUCUUGACGGUACCUAAUCAGAAAGCCACGGCUAACUACGUG